AAGUCGAACGGUAACAGAGGUGCUUGCACCUGCUGACGAGUGGCGAAAGGGUGAGUAACCCGUGAGCAACCUGCCUCGAAGUCCGGGAUAGCCUUGGGAAACCGAGAUUAAUACCGGAUGUGGCUGUUUUUCCGCAUGGUUUUACAGCUGAAGUUUUUUCGCUUCGAGAUGGGCUCGCGUUCCAUCAGCUAGUUGGUGAGGUAACGGCUCACCAAGGCAGCGACGGAUAGGUGGUCUGAGAGGAUGGUCACCCACACUGGGACUGAGACACUGCCCAGACUCCUACGGGAGGCUGCAGUCGAGAAUCUUCCGCAAUGCGCGAAAGCGUGACGGAGCGAUGCCGCGUGCCGGAUGAAGGCCUUCGGGUCGUAAACGGCUGUCACCCGGAACGAAUAUUGACGGUACCGGGAGAGGAAGCCACGGCUAACUACGUGCCAGCAGCCGCGGUAAUACGUAGGUGGCUAGCGUUAUUCGGAUUUAUUGGGCGUAAAGGGUUCGUAGGGGGCCGAGUAAGUCUGAUGUGAAAUCCAACGGCUCAACCGUUGAACUGCAUUGGAUACUGCCCGGCUAGAGUACUGGAGAGGUAAGCAGAAUUCCUGGUGUAGCGGUGGAAUGCGUAGAUAUCAGGAGGAAUACCGACGGCGAAGGCAGCUUACUGGACAGUUACUGACCCUCAUGAACGAAAGCUAGGGGAGCAAACAGGAUUAGAUACCCUGGUAGUCCUAGCUGUAAACGUUGUUCACUAGAUGUAGGCGGAUUGGUCCCGUCUGUGUCCAAGCUAACGUGAUAAGUGAACCGCCUGGGGAGUACGGCCGCAAGGCUAAAACUCAAAGGAAUUGACGGGGGCCCGCACAAGCGGUGGAGCAUGUGGCUUAAUUCGAGGCAACGCGAAGAACCUUACCUGGGUUUGACAUAUAUCUGACCGCCAUGGAAACAUGGUUUCUCUUCGGAGCGGAUAUACAGAUGCUGCAUGGCUGUCGUCAGCUCGUGCCGUGAGGUGUUCGGUUAAGUCCGGCAACGAGCGCAACCCGUGCUGCUAGUUACCAGCGAGUAAUGUCGGGGACUCUAGCAGGACUGCCCGUGCUAAGCGGGAGGAAGGCGCGGACGACGUCAAGUCAGUAUGGCUCUUACACCCA
rnacentral:rRNA from 1 species